GCUGACGAGUGGCGGACGGGUGAGUAAUGUCUGGGAAACUGCCUGAUGGAGGGGGAUAACUACUGGAAACGGUAGCUAAUACCGCAUAACGUCGCAAGACCAAAGAGGGGGACCCUCGGGCCUCUUGCCAUCGGAUGUGCCCAGAUGGGAUUAGCUAGUAGGUGGGGUAACGGCUCACCUAGGCGACGAUCCCUAGCUGGUCUGAGAGGAUGACCAGCCACACUGGAACUGAGACACGGUCC
rnacentral:rRNA from 1 species